rnacentral:rRNA from 1 species
CAAUAGCGUAUAUUUAAGUUGUUGCAGUUAAAAGCUCGUAGUUGGAUUUCGGUUGAGAACGGCCGGUCCGCCGUUUGGUGUGCACUGGCUGGUCUCAACUUCCUGUAGAGGACGCGCUCUGGGUUAACGCUCGGACGCGGAGUCUACGUGGUUACUUUGAAAAAUUAGAGUGUUCAAAGCGGGCUUACGCUUGAAUAUUUCAGCAUGGAAUAACACUAUAGGACUCCUGUCCUAUUUCGUUGGUCUCGGGACGGGAGUAAUGAUUAAGAGGAACAGUUGGGGGUAGUUCGUAUUUAAUUGUCAGAGGUGAAAUUACUUGGAUUUAUUGAAAGAACGAACUUCUGCGAAAGACAUUUACCUAAGGAUGUUUUCUAUUAAUUCAAGAACGAAAGUU